rnacentral:rRNA from 1 species
CCUGUGAAACCCAAAAGAUCGAAUGAGGAGAUUCAUCGUCAAUGUAUUUGGUAUUAAUAUAAAUUAUGAUGUGAUUAUAUUUACUUGUAAUUAUAUAUUAUACAUAUUUAUAUUAUUAUAAUUGCUAAAUUACGUCGGCGUGCACUUUUCCUUUAGUAGGACGUCGCGACCCGUUGGAUUUUGUUGGUCUAUGGCCUAAUUGGUAGCCUUUGAURUUUAAAUGCUUGCAUUUAUUAUAUUAAAGACCAUUGGUGACUGACCAUCUAUCCAACGGAAAUUAUAUGGAAUGAANCCGCACAAUUAUAUAUGUGCGUUAGACCCAUCGCAAGUUCGAUUAAUUUUUAGUAGUAUGGAUUCAAUGCCAUCGCUAUAAUUAAUCAACUGUUAGCAGUAUGGGGUGCUUUAACUGGCUUAUUAAUACCUGUCAGCGAUGCUACUGYUUUGGGUACUCUCAGGACCCGNCUUGAAACACGGACCAAGGAGUCUAACAUGUAUGCAAGUCAUUGGGAUUUUUUAAAAAUAAAAUUAAACCUAAAGGCAUAAUGAAAGUAAAGAUCGUACUUGUGACGAUUAAGGGAAGAUGAGUUAUAUUACGAUAUAAUUUCGCAUUCCCGGGGCGUUUUAUUCUUAUUUUUAAUAAGAGAAGGCGCACCUAG